rnacentral:lncRNA from 1 species
UUUUUUUUUUAAGAUUUAUUUAUUUAUUCAUGAGAGAGACAGAGACAUAGGCAGAGGGAGAAGCAGGCUCCAUGCAAGGAGCCCGACGUGGGACUCAAUCCCAGGACUCCAGGAUCAUGCCCUGGGCCGAAGGCAGGCACCAAACCACUGAGCCACCCAGGGAUCCUCCCAACUACACAUUCUUAAAUGGGAGUGGAAGCAUACUGAGGGAAGCAAGAAGUCUCUCCUCCAUGCCCAAGUCACCAUUCUCAUAGCCUGAGAGUCUCUGCCACAGGACGAGUCCACAUAUGUCAUGCAGGAUUCACAUACAUGGGCUUCCCCACAGCCCAUAGGGCAUACACCACAAAGCACCACUCCAGUUCUUGGCACCUCCAGCAACAAGACAGUGAGGCCAUUGCACUCAUUCUCAGACCUGUCCAUCCUCACACUCUGCAGCAGCUCUUACAGAUCCUCUUCUGCCUCCAGCUGGCUGACUGCCCCAUUGGGAACCGAGGAUGUCAACAGGCCCACUUUGAUGUCAUGACCGAACAUCCCCUCAUAAGAUGAGCUGCAGAUGCUCUCAUUAAAUAUUCUAUUCUUGGGCUGCAGCUCAAGAUUGUUGAGCUUUGAUCUCAGGGUUGUGACUUCAGACCCCACAUUAAGUGUAGAGAUUACUUAAAAAUAAAAUCUUUAAAAAAAAUAAAACAACAACAAAAUUCUGUUCUUCAUCACUUGAACAAAGUGCAGCUCCCAGGUCCACACACUGGUCCCCUCUACCAAGUCACAAUAUUGUAGAUGUCUUGGUGGCCCCACUCCAUGCUGCCUGGGCUCUGGCUCAGAUGGUGCUUCCUGGUCAUGAUCAUUAAUCCACUCCACAUACCUCAUUUGCAAAGUAUCUUCCAUUUCCAGACUAAAGAAUAGAAAGGGCCCCAGAGAUGCAGAAGAUGUGGGGUGCAUAGAUGGCUUAGUCAGUUAAGUGACUGACCUGGACAUGGGGGCUCAGGUCAGGUCAUGAUCUCAGAGUUGUGAGAUUGAGCCCUGCAUAGGGCUCAGUGAGGAGUAUGCCUCUUUCGCUUUCCCCCUCUGCCCCUUCUUGGUUCAUGCUGUCUAAAAUAAAUAAAAUCUUUUUAAAAAGAUAUGAAUAUAUCUAGCAGACAUCUGUCCACAUCCCCAGCACUUUUGCUGGUCAGAAGCCUCCACUGGACAAAUUUGGUGGUGGGACUCUGGUAGACCAUGAUAAAUUUAAAUUGCAUUUCAAUACGGUCCACCCGGCACCAGCUCCUUGUCUCUACAAAUAUUAGUCUUCAACAUACAUUUCUUCACAGGAUGCAACUUGUGCUACCAGGGUCUGUAUAUCUUCAAGUACAGGAGUAUAGCUUCCUAUGUCACAUUCUUGUAGCUCUUCAGCUCUGCCAGCAUCCUAUGCUUCCCUCCAUGCCCAAUGCUAACAUGGGCCUCAUGCAGCAUAUCCUACAUGUUCUCGUUCUUUGACAUAGCAAAAGCCCACAUUGCCUUCUGACAGGGGGAAAAUCAGCAUUUCCUCAUUCCCAAUGCAGAUGACAAAUCACUUCAGUUGGUGGAGCGGGAGAGUAGAUCCCUCUUUUUAUUUGGUAUGUUUCACUUAUUCGAGUAUCUCACUGUACUUGUCACUUGUGAAACACAUGGAAUUGUAUUUCUCCUCUUUUUUUAGACAGUAAAAAGUUAAAACAGUGAUAAAACUGUUGUUUGGCAUCACACCCAAGAUCCUGUGAGAAUGGUGGGGAGCUGUGCUGCCUGGAAACUAACACAGGUACAGUCUACUGGAAAUUCUCAGCCAGGUCUCCCUGCCAGGGCAGGUGGACACUCACUGACCAGCAGGCUUGGAUUCCUAAAUGAAGAUGGGCCACAUGCCCCAUGGCCAACUAAUGGCAAGUGACCCUUCCUUUAUCUGACUAAUGUACCCAAGGGUCAUGUUUAAAGUCAGUCUCUCAUUUGACUCUGAUUCUACAUUAAGUGGUAUAGACACUCAAAUGGGAGAAGCUGACCAGCAACUUGGGAUCCCAAGAUAAACCCACGGGGGCCACUCCGAGGAGAACCCAGAGCUGGUCCAAGUAUUGGGGCAGAAGAGUUUCCUGCUCAGGUGCAACAGGUUCAGCCAGCAGGUGGUACUCAUUUCCUGCAUGUAAUCUGAGGUCAAGUCUGGGCAUGCCUCAGCCAGGUGUACAUAGGUGUGUAUAGAAGGCAGAUGUGAAAAGUGUGGAAGGAGCCUCGGUGCCCAUUGAAAGAUGAAUGGAUAAAGAAGCUGUGGUAUAUAUAUACAAUGGAAUAUUACUCAGCCAUUAGAAAAGACAAAUACCCACCAUUUGUUUCGAUGUGGAUGGAACUGGAGAGUAUUAUGCUGAGUAAAAUAAGUCAAUCAGAGAAGGACAAACAUUAUAUGGUCUCAUUCAUUUGGGGAAUAUAAAAAAUAGUGAAAGGGAAUAAAGGGGAAAGGAGAGAAAAUGAGUGGGAAAUAUCAGAGAGGGUGACAGAACAUGAGAAACAUCUAACUCUGGGAAACGAACAAGGGGUAGUGGAAAGGGAGGUAGGCAGGGGGUUGAGGUGACUGGGUGACGGGCACUGAGGGGGGCAUUUGACAGGAGGAGCACUGGGUGAUAUGCUAUGUGUUGGCAAAUUAAACUCCCCCCACCCCCAAAAAGAUGAAGAAGGCAGAUGUGAGAUGUGUGGGCAUCUGGGAUCCACAGCAAAACAUUCAGGCCAAAUUUAAACAAUAAACAAUCUCCUAAGCUAGCCCUCCCUCUCCCCACUCCUAUGGAAAGUGGAUAGGCUCAGGUAAAGGUUUUCUGCAGCAGGAACCCAUGGCUGGAAACAGACCACUCAUCUGAGGGCUUGUGUGUCUGGCAAUAAGGCCAAUCCACUCCCCAAAAUCCACAUCCUUACCCAAACCAGUCACAUUCCUGAAGGCUGCCUUCUGCAGGGCACUGGGUGGCCCCCAGUCUUCUUUUGUGGGAUCCAGAUUUGGCCUUUUCUCCAAAUGCCACCACCGUCUGGAAUACACCAUGUCCACAGGGAGAAGAAAGUCAAAGUGGCAUAGCAGGAGUAAAAUGGAAACCAGUAGAAAAGGAGUGCAAGGCAGGAAGAGCAAGGGAGACAAGAAGAAAGGAAGAAUUAGCAAUCAGUCCUGGCCACAGCCAUGUCCUGUGGGCCUAUCAAAUGCUGUUUUAAAUUGUAAACUGGUGCCAACAAUAACAACCUGGAUUUGGGCUUUCCUGACAGCGAUAUUUAGCCAUACCCAAAAGAAGCUGAGACCAGGCAACCCCAUCU